rnacentral:lncRNA from 7 species
AAAGGAGGCUUCAGUUCUCCAAAAGGCUUUUUGAGAUGUCCUAAGUAGCUCUACUGUGUCAUAUCCUGGAAUGAUGCUCAAAUGGAUGGCUCUCUCAAAACUGGAAGAGAAAAAAAGACACAGCAAACAAAAAAUUCACUUGAAAACUUUGAAGGGCUUGCAUGACUUACAACCAAAGGCAAAAGUACUACCUGGCCAAAUGAUAUUGCAGAAGACUGCAAGCUUCUUCAAGGAGAGUUUUGAGGAAAUCUAUAGUUUUGGUUUAAAGCAUCGAGAGAGAGAAACCGUGAAAGAAAAAGAACAAGAACAAAAAGGCGUAAGGGAGCUCCCGCUCCAGCUUCCAGUCAGCACUAAUGACCAGUUAUACUGCCUGUCAUGAACAACAGAGUUUGAAGAUGGACCUCAGGAAGCUUUUCUCAGAUAUCAGAAGACGUUCACCACAUCUCUUCUGAGAUCAUGAAAAAGACAUCAGCCCUUCAACUCCAAGUUCCAUAUGUAGUACCCUAACCCAAAGUCUUUCCAAAGAAAACUCCAGAAGAGUCAUUUGCACAUUUUGAGAGUGGAUGGUGAAGAGUAACUGCAGAACUGAAGGAAAAUACAGAGUUGAUUUUACAGGAAAUAGUGACUUAAUUUUAAAUAAAUAAAUAAAUUUAUGGGAGAUGUUGGAAGUUUGAACAACAGUUUGAAGACUGUUGUUACAUCCUUCUGAUUUGGCUUUUUUUUUUUUUUCCUCUUAUAGCUCUUGGGACUACUGUUUAUAAUGUCAUCUUGAUUAGUUAUGAAGUGGAGCAGACUCACGUCAGUGUGCAUGAAUCUCAGAAAAAUAAUCUUCUCAUGUUUUAUAUCAUUUUUCACAGUCAUGGCAUCUAAUAAUUAACAACAAAACUCACUGUUCCUAGCUCUUCAGAUUUUACCACCACACAUUGUUGCCUUAUAUGGCAACUUGUUUGACUGGACAAAGUCAAGUCUAAGACUAAGAAGUACAGACCUGAAGAGAAUUUAACCUUUCUCUUCAUGAAAGGGCACUUUAUUAUGGGUAUGCCUAUUGUAGAAAUAAUUCACCACACAUAGGCUUCACAACUGUUUUAAAUAGGUUGGAUCUAUGUAAAGGUGUCUCACUCACUUAAGUCUUGGAGGCACAACAAACUAUACCGUAUUUGGUGUAGGACGCAGCACAUAAGGUUAUAAAAAACAUCCAAGACAGUGCUAAGCAGGAUACUCACUGCUAUUCGGUUGACUGAUGGGUAAUUGAUUAACUAUCUUUUACUCUCCAUCAAGUCAUUUUGUCUCCUGGUCUCCAUCCUUCAGUUCCUAAAUCCAGCAUCCCUGGUCAACACAGGCUUGCGGUUAGCCCUCUCUUAUCAGCUCCUUCACCUCCAGUUAGGGUUCUGCAAGUGUGUAAGUGACAAAGCUUCCAAAUAAUAGCACUGUGCUUCCACCUCUGUCACUUUGAGAUCAGGCAUGCACCUGCCCAUUUCUCACAUGCAAGGUGUGAAGACACAAGUAGUUCCAUUUUUCACCAUCAGAAUGUAAGUCCUGCAACCAGGACUUACUUAAUGUUGUCUGUUCUUUCUUAAGGAUUUUUUGUUCAUUGUUUAUAUGUCUAACAAGAUUGCUGUGAAGAGUUUUCCGUGUUUCUGUAGCAGAAGGGAAAAAGGACAUGAACUGGUAGUGAUAAAAUGCAACCUACUAUCUGGAUGGAGCUGACAAGUAAUAAAUUGCAAGCAGUGGAUGCAAACAGGUUGUACUUGAGUUCACACCCAGAUAAGUUUUGAGUUCCAUCUCUUAGAGACAUGUUCAGGUAUUUAUGGGCAAGGACUCUCCAGACUC